rnacentral:rRNA from 1 species
GAGUUUGAUCCUGGCUCAGGAUGAACGCUGGCGGCGUGCUUAACACAUGCAAGUCAAGGGGGCCCGGGGCGCAAGCCUGGGGCAACCGGCGAACGGGUGCGUAACACGUGAGCAACCUACCCAGGUGUGGGGGAUAGCCGGCCCAACGGCCGGGUAAUACCGCAUACGCUCAACACGAGGCAUUUCGAGUUGAGGAAACCUUCGGGGCACCAUGAGGGGCUCGCGGCCUAUCAGCUAGUUGGCGAGGUAAUGGCUCACCAAGGCUACGACGGGUAGCUGGUCUGAGAGGAUGGCCAGCCACAUUGGGACUGAGAAACGGCCCAGACUCCUACGGGAGGCAGCAGUGGGGAAUCUUGCGCAAUGGCCUAACGGCUGACGCAGCGACGCCGCGUGAGGGAUGACGCUCUUCGGAGUGUAAACCUCUUUUGCCUGGAACGAACUAACAGCUUUUGCUGAUUUGACGGUACCGGGUGAAUAAGCACUGGCUAACUCCGUGCCAGCAGCCGCGGUAAUACGGGGGGUGCGAGCGUUGUCCGGAAUCACUGGGCGUAAAGGGCGCGUAGGUGGCAUGAUAAGGGUGUGGUGAAAGCCCGGGGCUCAACCCCGGGUCGGCCAUGCCGACUGUCAAGCUGGAGUACUGUAGGGG